rnacentral:rRNA from 1 species
CAUCACUACGCUAGAUGCAUAUCAAUAAGCGGAGGAAAAGAAACUAACUAGGAUUCCCUCAGUAACGGCGAGUGAAGCGGGAAGAGCUCAAAUUUGAAAUCUUCAAGGUUCUAUCUUGACGAAUUGUAGUUUAAAGAAGUGUUUUCUGUUGGAGUUUUGGUAAAAGUUCUUUGGAAUAGGACAUCAUAGAGGGUGAGAAUCCCGUAUUUGACCAUUAUUUCCAACUUUGUGAUACACUUUCAAAGAGUCGGAUUGUUUGGGAAUGCAGUCCAAAAUGGGUGGUAAAUUUCAUCUAAAGCUAAAUAUUGGCGAGAGACCGAUAGCGAACAAGUACCGUGAGGGAAAGGUGAAAAGAACUUUGAAAAGAGAGUUAAACAGUACGUGAAAUUGUCAAAAGGGAAGCGUUUGACACCAGUGUUGUUUAGUUGAAAAUCAAUUCAAUAGUUUUUGAUUCUAAGUAGUAUUGACUUCAUCAGCUUGCUGCUUUCUUCUCAGAAAUUAUUGAAUGCGCUUUUCAGUUAACAAGUCAACAUCAAUUUCUUUUGUUGUAAAAGGGUAAGAGGAAGGUGGCUUGCGCUUCGGCUCAGGUGUUUAUAGCCUUUGGCUUCUGCAAUCGGAGAGAUUGAGGUCUGCAGCGUAGAUCCUUCGGGGUUAGAUACAUUUGUGCUAAGUUAUAGCCUUUCAUAGACAACUUGUUGACUAUGAUCAGUCAUGUAGCUUACUCGCUUAUGUUAUUUUACCUACGCUUAGGAUGUUGACACACGCGCGUGCUCG